rnacentral:misc_RNA from 1 species
AAGUCGUAACAAGGUCUCCGUUGGUGAACCAGCGGAGGGAUCAUUACAGAGUUAUCACAACUCCAAACCCAAUGUGAACCUUACCUCUUGUUCUGUUGCCUCGGCGGGCGGGGUUCGGCUCUCCGACAGGAGGUCCGCCGUCUCCCCAACCGCCGGCAGCAUCAAACUCUAGGUUUCAUAGCGGAUCUAUCUUCUGAUUGAAAAGCAAGCAAUGAAUCAAAACUUUCAACAACGGAUCUCUUGGUUCUG